UACGGAGGGGACUAGCGUUGUUCGGAAUUACUGGGCGUAAAGCGCGCGUAGGCGGAUUUGCAAGUCGGGGGUGAAAGCCCGAGGCUCAACCUCGGAACUGCCUUCGAUACUGCAAAUCUCGAGUCCGAGAGAGGUGAGUGGAAUUCCUAGUGUAGAGGUGAAAUUCGUAGAUAUUAGGAAGAACACCAGUGGCGAAGGCGGCUCACUGGCGCGGUACUGACGCUGAGGCGCGAAAGCGUGGGGGGCAAACAGG
rnacentral:rRNA from 1 species